GGACGUGUAGCUCAGUUGGCUAAUUUAGAGCGCUUCCAUGGCAUGGAAGAGGUCGGGGGUUCAAAUCCUCCCGCGUCCA
rnacentral:tRNA from 1 species